rnacentral:rRNA from 1 species
AUACGUAGGUGGCAAGCGUUGUCCGGAAUUAUUGGGCGUAAAGCGCUCGCAGGCGGUUUUUUAAGUCUGAUGUGAAAUCUUGCAGCUCAACUGCAAACGUGCAUUGGAAACUGGAGGACUUGAGUGCAGAAGAGGAGAGUGGAAUUCCACGUGUAGCGGUGAAAUGCGUAGAGAUGUGGAGGAACACCAGUGGCGAAGGCGACUCUCUGGUCUGUAACUGACGCUGAGGAGCGAAAGCGUGGGGAGC